rnacentral:lncRNA from 1 species
AUUUGUGGUUUUCGCGACGCUGUGGGGAUUUCUGGGAACAGUUAUCAGUUAUGUUCUAAGGAAAACUCUGGGAUCAACUGAGGCCAUGAACUCUGAACCGGGACUUCGAGGGGUGUACUGUACAGCCUUUGAAUGACAAAGCAGGUUACUUCAGACACCUGGAAGACAACAGGUUUUCUCAUCUGCUGUUUUGGAUCCUCGAUUGUGACAUCAAAGGUCUUCACACCUACCCAUGUUGCCACGUUCAAAAAAGCGGAAUGCUUUAUAAUAGUGCUUUCUCUGCUUUUUAUUCUUUAUAGUUAUUGUGUUGAAAAGAGAACAAACCCUGAAGUUACACUGAUUGUGGUCUUGGCUACCUUUCUGUUGGUCAUUCACAUACCACACUUCAUACCCUGCUGCUACAGUGCUCAACAGUGCUCCUACCACUAACAACUUUCUGGGGCUCACUUCAUUUUAAUUUUUUUAACUUAUCAGUGACUCUGGUACUAUAUUUUUCCUUUUUAAGAGAAAUAUAAAAUGAACAGAGGGUGUGUGUUUGUUCACAUGCACACAGCUACAGUGAGA